CCUAGGGGGGCUGCAGUGGGGAAUAUUGGACAAUGGGCGAAAGCCUGAUCCAGCCAUGCCGUGUGUGUGAAGAAGGCCUUCGGGUUGUAAAGCACUUUCAGUGGGGAAGAAAGCCUUGGGGCUAAUACCCUCGAGGAAGGACAUCACCCACAGAAGAAGCACCGGCUAACUCCGUGCCAGCAGCCGCGGUAAUACGGAGGGUGCGAGCGUUAAUCGGAAUUACUGGGCGUAAAGCGCGCGUAGGCGGUCUGAUAAGCCGGUUGUGAAAGCCCCGGGCUCAACCUGGGAACGGCAUCCGGAACUGUCAGGCUAGAGUGCAGGAGAGGAAGGUAGAAUUCCCGGUGUAGCGGUGAAAUGCGUAGAGAUCGGGAGGAAUACCAGUGGCGAAGGCGGCCUUCUGGACUGACACUGACGCUGAGGUGCGAAAGCGUGGGUAGCAAACAGGAUUAGAUACCCGUGUAGUC
rnacentral:rRNA from 1 species